rnacentral:lncRNA from 1 species
ACCAAAUGACUCCUUCUACCAUAUUAUGUUGUUCCCCAAGUUUUGGAUUCAAUUCGAUAUCGAUUAGUACAUGAAACUGGACAAUUCUGGUUCGUACUACGUUUGUUCUGAAAUGGAGUGGUUCAUGUAUUGCAUAGUUCUAGAGAUUGGAUUGUACUCAAAACAUACCAAAUGAGUCCUCCCACAACAUUUUGAUGUUCCCCAAGUUUUGGGCUCAAUCCAAUAUCGAUUGGUCCAUGAAAUUGGACAAUUCUGGUCUGUACGAAGUUCGUUAUGAAAUGGAGUGGUUGGUGUAUUGCAUAGUUUUAGCCUUUGGAUUUCUCUCAAAACUCACCAAAUGACUCCUCC